rnacentral:tRNA from 1 species
GCAUUGGUGGUUCAGUGGUAGAAUUCUCGCCUCCAGCGCAGGAAAUGCAGGUAUGAUUCCCUUCCAACGCA